rnacentral:rRNA from 1 species
AUUGAACGCUGGCGGCAUGCUUUACACAUGCAAGUCGAACGGUAACAGGUUAAGCUGACGAGUGGCGAACGGGUGAGUAAUGCAUCGGAACGUGCCCGAUCGUGGGGGAUAACGCAGCGAAAGCUGCGCUAAUACCGCAUACGAUCUGAGGAUGAAAGCGGGGGACCGUAAGGCCUCGCGCGAUCGGAGCGGCCGAUGGCAGCUUAGGUAGUUGGUGGGGUAAAGGCCCACCAAGCCGACGAUCUGUAGCUGGUUUUAGAGGACGACCAGCCACAGUGGGAAUGAGACACGGCCCAGACUCCUACGGGAGGCAGCAGUGGGGAAUUUUGGACAAUGGGCGAAAGCCUGAUCCAGCAAUGCCGCGUGCAGGAAGAAGGCCUUCGGGUUGUAAACUGCUUUUGUACGGAGCGAAAAGGUCCUUUCUAAUACAAGGGGCUCAUGACGGUACCGUAAGAAUAAGCACCGGCUAACUACGUGCCAGCCGCCGCAGUAA